GACGAACGCUGGCGGCGUGCUUAACACAUGCAAGUCGAACGGUAAGGCCCUUCGGGGUACACGAGUGGCGAACGGGUGAGUAACACGUGGGUGAUCUGCCCUGCACUUCGGGAUAAGCCUGGGAAACUGGGUCUCAUACCGGAUAGGACCACUGCCUGCAUGGGUGGUGGUGGAAAGCUUUUGCGGUGUGGGAUGGGCCCGCGGCCUAUCGGCUUGUUGGUGGGGUGAUGGCCUACCAAGGCGACGACGGGUAGCCGGCCUGAGAGGGUGACCGGCCACACUUGGACUGAGAUACGGCCCAGACUCCUACGGGAGGCAGAAGUGGGGAAUAUUGAUCAAUGGGCGCAAGCCUGAUGCAGCGACGCCGCGUGAGGGAUGACGGCCUUCGGGUUGUAAACCUCUUUCAGCAUCGACGAAGCGAAAGUGACGGUAGGUGCAGAAGAAGGACCGGCCAACUACGUGCCAGCAGCCGCAGUAA
rnacentral:rRNA from 1 species